rnacentral:rRNA from 1 species
GUUCGCCUAGCCAUGCGAGUCAUAUGUUCUUCGUGAACAUGGCGUACUGCUUAGUAACACGUGGAUAACCUGCCCUUGGGUCCGGCAUAACCCCGGGAAACUGGGGAUAAUUCCGGAUAACGCAUAUAUGCUGGAAUGCUUUCUGCGUAAAAUGGAUUCGUCUGCCCAAGGAUGGGUCUGCGGCCUAUCAGGUAGUAGUGGGUGUAAUGUACCUACUAGCCGACGACGGGUACGGGUUGUGAGAGCAAGAGCCCGGAGAUGGAUUCUGAGACAUGAAUCCAGGCCCUACGGGGCGCAGCAGGCGCGAAAACUUUACAAUGCGGGAAACCGUGAUAAGGGGACACCGAGUGCCAGCAUCAUAUGCUGGCUGUCCGGGUGUGUAAAAUACACCCGUUAGCAAGGGCCGGGCAAGACCGGUGCCAGCCGCCGCGGUAACACCGGCGGCCCGAGUGGUGAUCGUGAUUAUUGGGUCUAAAGGGUCCGUAGCCGGUUUGGUCAGUCCUCCGGGAAAUCUGAUAGCUCAACUAUUAGGCUUUCGGGGGAUACUGCCAGGCUUGGAACCGGGAGAGGUAAGAGGUACUACAGGGGUAGGAGUGAAAUCUUGUAAUCCCUGUGGGACCACCUGUGGCGAAGGCGUCUUACCAGAACGGGUUCGACGGUGAGGGACGAAAGCUGGGGGCACGAACCGGAUUAGAUACCCGGGUAGUCCCAGCCGUAAACGAUGCUCGCUAGGUGUCAGGCAUGGCGCGACCGUGUCUGGUGCCGCAGGGAAGCCGUGAAGCGAGCCACCUGGGAAGUACGGCCGCAAGGCUGAAACUUAAAGGAAUUGGCGGGGGAGCACAACAACGGGUGGAGCCUGCGGUUUAAUUGGACUCAACGCCGGACAACUCACCGGGGGCGACAGCAAUAUGUAGGCCAAGCUGAAGACUUUGCCUGAAUC